rnacentral:rRNA from 1 species
AUUGUAAUUUUAAAGCUAGAGUAUUAAUAGUUAUGAUCUUUAAAUUUUAAAAAUUUGGCGGUAUUUUAGUCUUUUCAGAGGAACCUGUUGUGUAAUCGAUGAUCCACGUUGUACCUUUCUUAAGUUUGUGUAUUAGUUUAUAUACCGUUGUUAUGGAAAAUUUUAAAAGAACAAUAAUUUUCAAUAAAUUAAGUAAAAUUAUAUAUCAAAUCAAGGUGUAGCUUAUGCUUAAUGUUUUAAUGGGUUACAAUAAAAUUAUUUAUACGGAUUUAAAAUGAAAAAAUUAUUGAAGGUGGAUUUGAAAGUAAAUUUAUAUAGAUUAAUGAAUUGAUUUUAGCUCU